rnacentral:rRNA from 1 species
AGCGUACACGGUGGAUGCCCUGGCAGUCAGAGGCGAUGAAGGACGUGCUAAUCUGCGAUAAGCGUCGGUAAGGUGAUAUGAACCGUUAUAACCGGCGAUUUCCGAAUGGGGAAACCCAGUGUGUUUCGACACACUAUCAUUACGUGAAUACAUAGCGUAAUGAAGCGAACCGGGGGAACUGAAACAUCUAAGUACCCCGAGGAAAAGAAAUCAACCGAGAUUCCCCCAGUAGCGGCGAGCGAACGGGGAGCAGCCCAGAGUCUGAAUCAGCAUGUGUGUUAGUGGAAGCGUCUGGAAAGUCGCACGAUACAGGGUGAAAGUCCCGUACACAAAAGUGCAUGUGUUGUGAACUCGAAGAGUAGGGCGGGACACGUGGUAUCCUGUCUGAAUAUGGGGGGACCAUCCUCCAAGGCUAAAUACUCCUGACUGACCGAUAGUGAACCAGUACCGUGAGGGAAAGGCGAAAAGAACCCCGGCGAGGGGAGUGAAAAAGAACCUGAAACCGUGUACGUACAAGCAGUGGGAGCACCCUUUGGGGUGUGACUGCGUACCUUUUGUAUAAUGGGUCAGCGACUUAUAUUCUGUAGCAAGGUUAACCGAAUAGGGGAGCCGAAGGGAAACCGAGUCUUAACUGGGCGUUAAGUUGCAGGGUAUAGACCCGAAACCCGGUGAUCUAGCCAUGGGCAGGUUGAAGGUUGGGUAACACUAACUGGAGGACCGAACCGACUAAUGUUGAAAAAUUAGCGGAUGACUUGUGGCUGGGGGUGAAAGGCCAAUCAAACCGGGAGAUAGCUGGUUCUCCCCGAAAGCUAUUUAGGUAGCGCCUCGUGAAUUCAUCUUCGGGGGUAGAGCACUGUUUCGGCUAGGGGGUCAUCCCGACUUACCAACCCGAUGCAAACUGCGAAUACCGAAGAAUGUUAUCACGGGAGACACACGGCGGGUGCUAACGUCCGUCGUGAAGAGGGAAACAACCCAGACCGCCAGCUAAGGUCCCAAAGUCAUGGUUAAGUGGGAAACGAUGUGGGAAGGCACAGACAGCCAGGAUGUUGGCUUAGAAGCAGCCAUCAUUUAAAGAAAGCGUAAUAGCUCACUGGUCGAGUCGGCCUGCGCGGAAGAUGUAACGGGGCUAAACCAUGCACCGAAGCUGCGGCAGCGACACUAUGUGUUGUUGGGUAGGGGAGCGUUCUGUAAGCCGUUGAAGGUGUGCUGUGAGGCAUGCUGGAGGUAUCAGAAGUGCGAAUGCUGACAUAAGUAACGAUAAUGCGGGUGAAAAACCCGCACGCCGGAAGACCAAGGGUUCCUGUCCAACGUUAAUCGGGGCAGGGUGAGUCGACCCCUAAGGCGAGGCCGAAAGGCGUAGUCGAUGGGAAACAGGUUAAUAUUCCUGUACUUGGUGUUACUGCGAAGGGGGGACGGAGAAGGCUAUGUUAGCCGGGCGACGGUUGUCCCGGUUUAAGCAUGUAGGCGGAGGUUCCAGGUAAAUCCGGUACCUUAUUAACGCUGAGGUGUGAUGACGAGGCACUACGGUGCUGAAGUAACAAAUGCCCUGCUUCCAGGAAAAGCCUCUAAGCAUCAGGUAACACGAAAUCGUACCCCAAACCGACACAGGUGGUCAGGUAGAGAAUACCAAGGCGCUUGAGAGAACUCGGGUGAAGGAACUAGGCAAAAUGGUGCCGUAACUUCGGGAGAAGGCACGCUGAUAUGUAGGUGAAGUGAUUUACUCAUGGAGCUGAAAUCAGUCGAAGAUACCAGCUGGCUGCAACUGUUUAUUAAAAACACAGCACUGUGCAAACACGAAAGUGGACGUAUACGGUGUGACGCCUGCCCGGUGCCGGAAGGUUAAUUGAUGGGGUUAUCCGUAAGGAGAAGCUCUUGAUCGAAGCCCCGGUAAACGGCGGCCGUAACUAUAACGGUCCUAAGGUAGCGAAAUUCCUUGUCGGGUAAGUUCCGACCUGCACGAAUGGCGUAAUGAUGGCCAGGCUGUCUCCACCCGAGACUCAGUGAAAUUGAACUCGCUGUGAAGAUGCAGUGUACCCGCGGCAAGACGGAAAGACCCCGUGAACCUUUACUAUAGCUUGACACUGAACACUGGUCCUUGAUGUGUAGGAUAGGUGGGAGGCUUUGAAGUGUGGACGCCAGUCUGCAUGGAGCCGACCUUGAAAUACCACCCUUUAAUGUUUGAUGUUCUAACGUUGACCCGUAAUCCGGGUUGCGGACAGUGUCUGGUGGGUAGUUUGACUGGGGCGGUCUCCUCCUAAAGAGUAACGGAGGAGCACGAAGGUUAGCUAAUCCUGGUCGGACAUCAGGAGGUUAGUGCAAAGGCAUAAGCUAGCUUGACUGCGAGAGUGACGGCUCGAGCAGGUGCGAAAGCAGGUCUUAGUGAUCCGGUGGUUCUGAAUGGAAGGGCCAUCGCUCAACGGAUAAAAGGUACUCCGGGGAUAACAGGCUGAUACCGCCCAAGAGUUCAUAUCGACGGCGGUGUUUGGCACCUCGAUGUCGGCUCAUCACAUCCUGGGGCUGAAGUAGGUCCCAAGGGU